GCCAAGAUGGCCGGUCGAGUUUUCUGAGAGCUCCUGGUCCGGCGGGCGCAAACACGCUACUUCAGAACGAGAUAUUGGCACAAGCAGCCCGGGAGGCUCGGAAACUGAAGCGGAAUCAAGCAGGGAUUAGGGGGAUACCUCUCCUCACCCGGUACACCAAGCGACUACUGCAACCGGCCAUGCAGCCUACUACGGAGCGGAG